UAGCCCUCCCUCCUGCUCUCCAUCUCUCCUUCCUUUCCUCCCUUCAUUUCCUCCCUCCUCCCCUGCCCUUGUUUCUGCUGACUCACUCCUUAGACCAAUAUGCUCUGUUGCUCUCCGGAGGGCUCUCAUCUCUUCUUCCCCUCUUCCUCUCUUCCCUCUAUCUUGUCUUCCGUCUUUUCGUGUCUUCAGCUGGGUGACUCCCAGGACAUGAUGCCUCCCCUGAGAAAGAAAGAAAGGAGAAGCCAUAUGGGGAUGAAGAAGUUUCCGGAAAACCAACUAACAGUUUCUCAGCCACUUUCACAACUAAUGCUCAUUCCACCCUUUCUAUGUUUAGCUGUUUCUAUGUUUAUAAACUACAUCCCAUACACGCGUCUUGAAUAAUCUACCCGUGAGGAGAUAAUCCAUAGAGUAUUCUAAUAUUACCCACAACCCUUCAGCAAUUUUUUGGACCACAAUAAAAAAUGGCAUGUUUGUAUGAUACUGUCUAAAUACUGCCAUGCAGAUUCAAUUGAAUUGAGCCCUUAGUCUUGAUAUUUUGGUAUAAGACCCUUUUCAGCAGAAAGUGGACAAAUAUUUUCACUAGGUGUGCCCUGGAUGUGGCUCCAUUGACAGCUCCUGCUGGGCACAUGGUGGGCCGGGGUGGGCAGCUCCUACUCUCUCUCUCUUCUUCAUUAGGACCAGACAGAUGCUGAGACAGCUGUGGAAGUGUUUGAUUCAACACCUAACUGCCUCCAGCAGCAGCCUCACAGUGUUCACUGAUUCCCAUUCAUCCUGUUCUACCUGGCCUAUACGCCCCCAGCACCCAGAGAGGCUGAGUUGUCUGUGCCUGACAGAAAAUAAACUCUAGCCUGCUCAGUAAUUGGCCGAAGUGUCAUGCAUAGGGGAACUCCAUGUAUUGCAUGGUGGUUCAGGUGUCCAUAGUGGUCUCUGACCUACAGUAUAUAAUUACCAUGGUCUUGGAUUUGCUUCUGCCAGGGCGGAACAUCACCUAAGCACUGGUGAAAAUACUUGAAACCCUUUUAAGUGAACAGCUAAAAUAGUUUUUUAUAUACUAACCAUGUUAUCAAUGAAAGAAUCGGGCUUCAGGAAGAAGCAUAGCACAAUUACAGCCGCCGUGAAGGUUUUAAAUGAUAUAACUGAAACCCUUGACAAAAGCAGCACUGUCUCUCUUUUUAUUGAUCUCUCGAAGGCUUUUGAUACAGUUGAUCAUGCUAACAUGAGGCAGAGAAUGUCGAACAUAGGUCUUUUGGAGCAUGCAGUUGCAUGGUUUGCAAACUGUCUGUCUGAUAGAACUCAGUGCACUCAAUUUGAUGGGAUUACGUCUGUUAAAUUGUCUGUCUGUAAUGGUGUGCCCCAGGGCUCUGUAAUUGGUCCCCUCUUAUUCACUAUUUAUAUAAAUAAUUUAGACAAAACAAAUGGCAAAAUGCGCAACUGAACUUUUAUGCUGAUGAUACUGUUAUUUAUUGUUGUGGCUCGUCUCUCACAAAGCUUUCCUGAACUUGAAAACUGCUGUUUAACCUGUUUAACAUACCUUGUGUCAAUUGAACCUUAUUCUGACAAAACUAAACUAAUGGUGUUUUCUAAAGCAAGAAAUAGACCUCUGAACCUUUUAUUUACUACCUGUCAGGGCAAUGAGAUUGAGGCUGUAACCUCAUAUAAAUAUCUUGGACUUUUUAUUGAUGACGGCCUCUUUUAAAUUGCAAAUUCAACAACUUACAAAACAAAUGAAGCUGAAGUUGGGAUUUUAUUUGAGGAAUAAGGCCUAUUUUUCUUUUGAAGCCAGAAGGAGACUAGUAUCAGCUACAUUUAUGCCUUUACUAGACUAUGGUGAUAUUUUAUAUAUGAACGCUUCCGCUCAGUGUUUGAGAUUAAUUGACACCCUUUACCAUGGAGCAUUGAGAUUUAUUUUAAACUGUAAAACCCUUACGUACCAUUGCACUUUAUAUACCAGGGUUGGCUUGCCUUCUCUAGUCACUGGUAAGCUCAGUCACUUUAUAAAGCCAUUUUGGGUUUACUACCAUUUUAUUUGGGCAUUUUUAUUCUUCAGAAAUGUGGUGAGUACUCUCUUCGUUCGCAAGACUUUAUCCUGUCUGAACUGAAUUUGGUAAAAGGGCUUUUAUGUACUCUGCGCCAUUGGCUUGGAACGCCUUACAAAAUACUUUUCAACUGGAAGAACUCGUCCAGAUUGGUGUUUUAAAUCAUUGAUGAAGGAUAUUAAGGCUGAUUCCUUGACCUGUCAAUGUUUUGAAUUUGCUGUUUUAUGAUUUUGUUAUACUCCUGUGAUUUCUAUGGGUUUUUUUUCUCUGUCUGUAAAAAUAAAAAUGUGUGGGUUGACAGUAA